CAACUCAGGCAGAGCAGAGGCCUCAGGCUUUCAGGGAGUGAACAGGAAGGAAAACACAGGAGCCAGCAGAUACCGAGAAAGCGUCUGCUGAGUUUGAGUCCUGGCCCAGUGGGUUGUGCCAGCAGGAAAGUGACUUCCAUGGGACGAGGCGUAUCACCUGCACCCAAGGCGCAGGGAGCGGUGGUCACAUUUCGUGCACCUAGAGAUUCUUGGGGACCCUCAAGAGCUGCGUCUCCUCUCGUCCUGAUGGCACCUGGUGCAGCAUGACUUCUGGACACAUCCCUGGGAUGCCAGUGAGAUUUCUGCCCAUCAAGGGCGCCCAGACAUGGACCCUCGGCCUUGCUGAUGAACACCUGCCCCCACACUGCCUCUCCUGCCUGAGCUUCUUUCCAAAGACCCAGCGCACACAAGACUUCACUCGUGUGUGUCGUGUGUUGUGCUCGCCUGCACUUGGGCACAUCCCUGUGGAGUGUCAAGCGACCCACUCAAGAGCCGCAUUCCAGCCCUCUCAUGGCAGCUGGCCUGUCCCUGUGUGGGGACUCGGCACGGGACGUGGUAUUUAUAGUCCGCAUCGCGGGUCCCGCCUCACCACGCGUUUCUGCAGCAGGAGAGAGCGAGGCAUCUCCCGUGCUCCCCCUGGACCAGGCCCUGCUCUAGGAGUCCGGGUGGUCCUCAGCACCCAGGGGACGCCUCUAUGAGCUCUGGACACCCACAUGGAUCCCGACCGUGAAUGAAUAAGACUCCUUCCCUUGCCCAUUAGCCCCGGAGUCAGCCUUUGGUCAUCUAAGGCAAGUCCUUGUCCACAGCAAACCAACCAAGCGCCACCUCAGGAAGCCACUUUUUGCAACAGUCUUCACAUGUGGAUGAUACAAAGGCAUUUGAAAAGUCAGGAUCAAUGACCACUCUGCUGCCACGAUUUCCCCCUUUCCGCAUGGAUGUUGACCCUUCAGAAGUUUGGUUGUGUUAGGACGGCGUGCCAUCUCCUCCCUGAGGUCCCGCUGCCCUCCAUCCAGAAGGCGGGCUCCAUGGACACGCCCUAUACUCUGCUUUUCACUGAGAGUGGGCAGCAGGUUCACCCAAGAGCUGUGAGCAAAUCCGCUGAGGGACUGGCUCCCUCCACCCCCAGGGUUCCAUCCUUCAAGCCCACGAUGGCUUUCCUGCUCCAUCCACGGUUGGGCUCGCAGGGUGGGUCAACUGCACUGUGCGGUGGAAUCCUGUCUCCCAGCUGUAACCUGUCACCUGCCCCAUGACCUGCACGGCCUCCCCGAUCUGCUCACAUCAGUGUUUACAGACUGUGUUCUGCUCCACAGAAAGGAGUGUCCCGUGGUUGAAUACUUAUGGAAGCCUCUGGAGAUUAUAGUCCCCUGUAAGAGAUCCAGAAAGCGUACUCAAAAUGCACAGAACUCCCGCCGCACGGAAGCCCGUUCACAUUCGUGUCACCCCACACGUCCUGGGGGUCUUUGGACUGGAGCCAUCUUGCCCGUCUGCCCCAAGAGGGUGCCUCUCUGCCCACCGCGCCUCCCUCUCUGGCCCUGCUCUUCCAGCCUGAAAAGUCAGCCCACACCUCUUUCCCCAUAAAUCUUCCCCUCCUUUCACUGCCGACCGUGCACUCCCUCACAUUCCCUCAGCUCUCAAGGUCCCUGUAACACGAUGUACCAUCCGAUCUGAGAUGCAUGUUUUAUGGACGUUGGGCCAAGAGUCCUUUGAAAGUGGGAGUCACGUUCUGUUCCUUCCCUGUGCCUGGACCAGCACGGAGCAGGCACAGACCGGCCAGCACUCCUCAGCUGCUGGACCUUUUCCCAAUGCUUAGUCGCUCGGCGUCCCUCCUCCUGGAUGGCUUGGCUGGGUUUGCUCAUUAGUGCCUCUACCAGGGAUGAAGGGCGGGGGAUGAAAGGCAGAGCUGGCGCCCUGUGUCAUUAGCCAACUCCUAACAUGGUGCAGGGGUUUGCUUGGCCAAAGGGAAUUGUUUGUAUAUUUCUGUAUUUGAAGAGCCGAAGGAGAAAUUUCCUCUCCAGUGUGUGUCUGUGUGUCUGUCUGUGUCUGUGUAUAUGUGUGUCUCUGUCUGUAUAUCUACAGAUGUAUGUAUGUCUAUGUUAUGUCUGUAUACGUGUCUGCGUACAUGUCUAUGUAAGUGUGUACGUAUGUCUGCACAUGUCCAUGUGUGUCUCUGGAUAUUUGUGUGUGUCUGUUAUGUCUGUGUAUGUGUGUCUCUGUCUGUGUCUGUGUGUCUCUGAAUGACUCUGUGUAUGUAUGUUUAUGGAUGCAUGUUGUAUAUGUCUCUAGGCUUCUUUGUGUGUCUGUAUAUGUGUGUGUGUUUGUAGAUGUGUGUGUGCAUGGAUGUGGUGUCUACACUCAUGUGAACCCAGGGCACCCACAGUUGGUCCAGCCUACUCUCUGACACAGGACACCUGAGUCUUGCAGGCAUCCUGAGUGUCCUCAGUGAUGGCCAUGUCGUCGCAGCUUCCCCAUCCUCCCGGCCUCUGUCCCCUGGGUUUUCCACUGCACCACGGUGUCCAGACCCUGGAGCAGUAGGACACUGAGUUUCAACAUGUCCUCCAACUGCAGCCCACCGCUUGCAGCCUGGAGGGGACAGCCCAGCUGAGUUGCAUCUCUGCAUGUCCCAGGAACCCGGCCUGGCUCCAGAGCCAGCCCUGCCAGUUCUGUGGGGAGAUGCCUCUAGAAAUGUCACAACCAGCAUGUCACUGGCUUCUCCACCUCCUUUGCUUUCUAGACCAAAUGAUGACCAGACGUGGGCCUGGGCCACUCAGCUCUUCAGAGGCUCUGGGCCUUGCCCGCACCAAUUCACCGAGUGGGAAGCCCUGGAGGGGUGGCCCUCAGUGCCCACACCACAUCGGUCCACGAUGGAAGCUUUACCUGCUCGGCCAUCCCUUGGCGUGGCGACUUUCAUUUCUUGCAAAUGAUGAUGAUCUCUUCUUUCUUUCCCUGGAGACCUCAAACAUUCCUCUUUACAUUUGAAGUUCCCAAAUGAAUAUUUUUAAAAUGUAUUCUGCUGUGAAUUUGCCUUGUAAAUAGGGCCGGCUACCUCAUUUGCAGGACUCAGUGCAUUUUAAAAUGUGGGACCCUUGUUCAAAAGGCAGGAAAACAGCACUUAAUGAUACCAAAAUAUAAA
ensembl:lncRNA